rnacentral:rRNA from 1 species
GACAGAGGCCUCAAGCGUUAGGCGGAAUCACUGGGCUUAAAGCGUGUGUAGGCGGAUCGUUAAGUGUCUUGUGAAAUCCCACGGCUCACCCGUGGAACUGCUGGGCAUACUGGCGAUCUUGGGCCAACUAGGGGCAACUGGAACAAGCGGUGGAGCGGUGAAAUGCGUAGAUAUCGCUUGGAACGCCAAAGGUGAAAACAGGUUGCUGGGGUUGUGCCGA